UCUUGCUCUGCAGAACCUUCCUCUAUUCAGCUCCCAUAUUAGUACUUCCAUGAUCCAUCAAGAGAGUCUUUACUCGCAUUUCCUAAAUGACCAUGUUCUUUGGCAAAAUCACCAGCAGUUUUUGACUUAAUUUGCAAGAAACCCUAAUGCUGCUGGAAUAUUGAAAAACCAUUUCAGAAUUAAUUUUUUUUCUUUGGGUUUCUUCUGUAGCAACUUCUUUGCAUCGUUUCCAUCUGUGGUGGUCAACCUUCAUAAGGUUCUUGGGAGACCCCUUAGUCAUUGCUUCCUUCGCUUGUUUUAUAGAACCUCUUACUUUUUUUUGGCCAGUCACCAAUAUUUCUGAUCUUAGCAAAACCUUUCAGUUGUUGUGCUGCACCGCAUGCUCCUCCUUGAUUGUUUCACUUAACACUGUAGCAUCAUCUUUUGUUGCAUCUGCAUCAGUAGACAUGCAUAUUUCCAAUCCAGUAUCAAGUCCCGUUGUGCUCAGCUCAGAAGACCCCUUUUUUUUUUUUUGGAAAAUCAGCUCAAAAGACCAUGGUGGCACACCAGAAUUGACUGACAGAGCUCUAGCUCAAAUAUAAUCCUCAAAUUUCACCAGGGAGGUCUGGCAAACACAUCGCCACCAGGCCUGGCAAAUACUUCUUUCCCAGUGUGGUCAACUAACUCAGAAGUCAGAACCAGACAAGCAUUUAGCAUAAGAUUGUAUAUCUUAUGUGCAUGACCAUCGUCCAAACUACAUAAACUCUUUGAGAUUGUAACUGUAAAUAUAUUCUGCUCUACAUGUUGCAAUUCGAAACUGAUAAUUGAGUUAGCUAUGUGUAAUUACGGUACUCUAUGGCUCCUUGAUCAUGAAAUGAAC
rnacentral:lncRNA from 1 species